rnacentral:misc_RNA from 1 species
UGAUGGAUCCUCAGGGAGAGGUGGU